GAAAACUGAGGUUUAGACACGGCUGAUGAAAAUUGUGAGUUGAAGGGUGUUUUUGAUGAAAUUGAAAGAAGAAGGAUUAACAUGAUGAUCGACCUAAAGUUGAUGGGGGUAAACUGAUUAGUCCUUAUUUUUAAAAUCUCCAAGUUUCAUUAAUUUGGAUCAAGUCAUUAUUAACAGUAGACUUUCAUCUUGUUAUCUUGAAAAAAAUGAACCAUGUCACGUCCCAAAACGAGUACAGAGAUUACUAUAAAAGGGUUAGCUAUCAAGCUUAGAAAUCACAUCUACUACUACCACUCACUACAAACAAGCUAGUUGUACGAAGAGCAGAAAUGGGAGCCUUGGGAAAGCCAAGGCCUUCUUCGCUCAUCAUUACCAUGUUUUAUUGUUUGACAUUCUGCUUCUUAGCUACUACUAGUGUUCAUGCUACUAUUCCUCUUUUACCUCCCAUAAUCCUACCUCCUAUUCCCAAGCUACCUCCUAUUCCCAUCCUACCUCCUUACAAGUCAUCACCACCUCCGCCACAGCCCAAGUCUUCACCACCUCCGCCUUCACCACCUCCGCCACAGCCCAAGUCUUCACCACCUCCGCCACCUCCGCCUUCACCACCUCCGCCACAGCCUAAGUCUUCACCACCUCCGCCACCUCCGCCUUCACCACCUCCGCCUUCACCACCUCCGCCUUCACCACCUCCGCCACCUCCGCCUUCACCACAGCCUAAGUCUUCACCACCUCCGCCACCGCCCAACUCAUCACCACCUCCGCCACCCUCACCCUCACCUCUACCUCCUUACAAGUCACCACCACCACCAUCUCCAUCACCAUCUCCAUCACAAUCUCUACCAUCUCUAUCACCACCAUCUCCAUCACCAUCUCUAUCACCAUCUCCAUCACCAU
rnacentral:lncRNA from 1 species